rnacentral:rRNA from 1 species
AGUGAACGCUGGCGGUAGGCCUAACACAUGCAAGUCGAACGGCAGCACAGUAAGAGCUUGCUCUUACGGGUGGCGAGUGGCGGACGGGUGAGGAAUACAUCGGAAUCUACUUUUUCGUGGGGGAUAACGUAGGGAAACUUACGCUAAUACCGCAUACGACCUACGGGUGAAAGCAUGGGAUCUUCGGACCUUGCGCGAUUGAAUGAGCCGAUGUCGGAUUAGCUAGUUGGCGGGGUAAAUGCCCACCAAGGCGACGAUCCGUAGCUGGUCUGAGAGGAUGAUCAGCCACACUGGAACUGAGACACGGUCCAGACUCCUACGGGAGGCAGCAGUGGGGAAUAUUGGACAAUGGGCGCAAGCCUGAUCCAGCCAUACCACGUGGGUGAAGAAGGCCUUCGGGUUGUAAAGCCCUUUUGUUGGGAAAGAAAAGCAGCAGGUUAAUACCCCGCUGUUCUGACGGUACCCAAAGAAUAAGCACCGGCUAACUUCGUG